rnacentral:rRNA from 1 species
AGGGGAAUAUUGGACAAUGGGCGCAAGCCUGAUCCAGCCAUGCCGCGUGAGUGAUGAAGGCCCUAGGGUUGUAAAGCGCUUUCACCGGUGAAGAUAAUGACGGUAACCGGAGAAGAAGCCCCGGCUAACUUCGUGCCAGCAGCCGCGGUAAUACGAAGGGGGCUAGCGUUGUUCGGAUUUACUGGGCGUAAAGCGCACGUAGGCGGACUUUUAAGUCAGGGGUGAAAUCCCGGGGCUCAACCCCGGAACUGCCUUUGAUACUGGAAGUCUUGAGUAUGGUAGAAGUGAGUGGAAUUCCGAGUGUAGAGGUGAAAUUCGUAGAUAUUCGGAGGAACACCAGUGGCGAAUGCGGCUCACUGGACCAUUACUGACGCUGAGGUGCGAAAGCGUGGGGAGCAAACAGG